rnacentral:rRNA from 1 species
AGAGUUUGAUCCUGGCUCAGAUUGAACGCUGGCGGAAUGCUUUACACAUGCAAGUCGAACGGCAGCACGGGAGCUUGCUCCUGGUGGCGAGUGGCGAACGGGUGAGUAAUGCGUCGGAACGUACCGAGUAAUGGGGGAUAACGCAGCGAAAGUUGUGCUAAUACCGCAUACGCCCUGAGGGGGAAAGUGGGGGAUCGCAAGACCUCACGUUAUUCGAGCGGCCGACGUCUGAUUAGCUAGUUGGUGAGGUAAUGGCUCACCAAGGCGACGAUCAGUAGCGGGUCUGAGAGGAUGAUCCGCCACACUGGGACUGAGACACGGCCCAGACUCCUACGGGAGGCAGCAGUGGGGAAUUUUGGACAAUGGGGGCAACCCUGAUCCAGCCAUUCCGCGUGAGUGAAGAAGGCCUUCGGGUUGUAAAGCUCUUUCAGCUGGAACGAAACGGUGUGCUCUAACAUAGCGCGCUAAUGACGGUACCAGCAGAAGAAGCACCGGCUAACUACGUGCCAGCAGCCGCGGUAAUACGUAGGGUGCGAGCGUUAAUCGGAAUUACUGGGCGUAAAGCGUGCGCAGGCGGAUUGUUAAGCAAGAUGUGAAAUCCCCGGGCUUAACCUGGGAAUGGCAUUUUGAACUGGCAGUCUAGAGUGUGUCAGAGGGGGGUGGAAUUCCACGUGUAGCAGUGAAAUGCGUAGAGAUGUGGAGGAACACCGAUGGCGAAGGCAGCCCCCUGGGAUAACACUGACGCUCAUGUACGAAAGCGUGGGUAGCAAACAGGAUUAGAUACCCUGGUAGUCCACGCC